GAGUUUGAUCGUGGCUCAGAUUGAACGCUGGCGGCAUGCCUUACACAUGCAAGUCGAACGGCAGCAUGAUCUAGCUUGCUAGAUUGAUGGCGAGUGGCGAACGGGUGAGUAACACAUCGGAAGGUGCCCUGUAGUGGGGGAUAACUAGUCGAAAGAUUAGCUAAUACCGCAUACGACCUGAGGGUGAAAGUGGGGGGCCGCAAGGCCUCAUGCUAUAGGAGCGGCCGAUGUCUGAUUAGCUAGUUGGUGGGGUAAAGGCCCGACCAAGGCGACGAUCAGUAGCUGGUCUGAGAGGACGAUCAGCCACACUGGGACUGAGACACGGCCCAGACUCCUACGGGAGGCAGCAGUGGGAAUUUUGGACAAUGGGCGAAAGCCUGAUCCAGCAAUGCCGCGUGUGUGAAGAAGGCCUCGG
rnacentral:rRNA from 1 species